rnacentral:rRNA from 1 species
UAACACAUGCAAGUCGAACGGCAGCACAGAAGAGCUUGCUCUUUGGGUGGCGAGUGGCGGACGGGUGAGUAAUGUCUGGGAAACUGCCCGAUGGAGGGGGGUAACUACUGGAAACGGUAGCUAAUACCGCAUAACGUCGCAAGACCAAAGUGGGGGACCUUCGGGCCUCACACCAUCGGAUGUGCCCAGAUGGGAUUAGCUAGUAGGUGGGGUAAUGGCUCACCUAGGCGACGAUCCCUAGCUGGUCUGAGAGGAUGACCAGCCACACUGGAACUGAGACGCGGUCCAGACUCCUACGGGAGGCAGCAGUGGGGAAUAUUGCACAAUGGGCGCAAGCCUGAUGCAGCCAUGCCGCGUGUAUGAAGAAGGCCUUCGGGUUGUAAAGUACUUUCAGCGGGG